UAAAGGUAAAGCUACCCCAUGACAGACAUGAAUAUUUUCAACAAGGCAGCAGUAUGUACCCUUUCCCUCUUGUCCUGUCACCAUGCAUCACUGUGAAGCAAGAACAGUUUCUCCUCCUGUAUCUUUUGGUUGAGAGAAAAGAAUGUCACAUACUGAUAGAAAGAGAAGAAUCUCAGUAGAAAGAAGAGUCUCAGGCUCAGUGAAAGAUGAAAGAAAAAUGCACAUGAAUCAAUUAUGAAAAAGAGAAAGUUUCUUUGAAUGAGGAAAAGCUGAUUGGAAUUAAGAUAGGCUUUGUUCAUAUCUGCAAGUUACAUGGAGAGUACUUUUCAGUGGAACAGAAAAGGGGGAUUUGGGAGUGUUUGGCUGCUUAAUGCUAUAGUGCUUCAGAGCCCAUGUGAAAAUUUGCUGCUAGCUAUUAAUCAUCUUUGUGUCUCUGCAAAGAAGCUGUUACAAUGAUGACUAUAUAUCAUUACAUUCCCACUGUAAGUAACAAAUCAGAGUGCUGGGAAAGUUGGAUAAGAGCGGCUGGCAAACUUUUAAGCUGUGGAAUCUAUUUAAAUAAAUUUACAUCACAUUUUGCAAUUUUCACUGGUAUGGGAAUCAUACUUUAACAUGAAACAAUAUGCUAUGUUCAUGGGUCCUGGUCUUUUAUUCUGUCUCUGAGCCUACUUUCCAGGUCAGCUUUUGCCAGUGCUGACAGCACGCUUUUCUCAUAGCCUCUCCUUCUCAUAGCCUUUAGUUGCUUUCAAGUUCAAUUUAGCACAAUGAAGUUGUUAUGCAUGACAGUUUGGAGAGCAGAAUAGGUGGUGGCUGAGCCUGCUGUGUCACUACAGAGUGGGCUCAUUCUCUGCAAGCCAGCUCAGUUACUGAAGCCUUGCUGGUGGGACACUGCAGUGGACUUCCAGAUGUUCCCAUCCUGACGAAAACAAUUAGCUUCAAACUGCAAGAAGCCAGAGGGUCACCCUUUAUUUCAGUGAGACUGCACCAUUUAAUAUGCUGCAGCAGAUUUCAAAUUCAUGUUGAUUUAUCCUGUUCUACUCUUCUUUUAUGGUCUUUAUUUAUAGAUGUGUAAAGCAACUGGGAAAGUUUGAGUCUCAUAUGGUUCAGGAGUUGUAUUAGAAAUCUAAACCAUUGUUUUAUGUUUAUUUUACAAAGUACUAGACUUGAAACGUGUCAGACUUAAUUCCGUUAGGCUGAGCUGCCUAAAACAGAGCCCUGAGGUUCCUCAAACAGAACCUGUAAGUGUCUCUUCUGCUAACCAUCAGCAACAAGCCAAAAAUAAACAACCCCAAAACGCUCAAGAUGCCAGCACAGAUGUCUGUUACAAGAAUAUUGAAAAGAACUGAAGACCAUUUACAAAUGGAAAAUUAUGCAACUAUUAAAAAUAAGUUCAUUUUGAGCCUACAUUGAGGUGAUGCAAGCUGCCUGUUCUUCGCAAGCACAGCUGGUUGUGUUCAUUGCUAAGAACCUUGUAGACCACUGAAUUCAAUGGUACAAUACAGCUGCUACUUUACAGGAUAAAUAUUAUUUUAUUUUGGCAUUAACUUCACUAUUGACACAAUGAUAGGUUUCUUCUUCUUUACCAGGCUCUGGUAGCACUGCUAUGACAAAACAAGACAAUUGCAUACUACUUGACUUCACACUGCUAAGAGCUAGCACCUGUUUUUUAGAUUCCCGAGUAAAAAAGACUCUGUUGUCUUGAUUAUAUAUAUUGGUAUUUACUGGAUAAACCCAUCAAAUAAUUCUCAUUCUAGAUUAAAACUUACAGGGAAAAGUGUUUAGAAUAAUAAGAUGCUUCUACCCUCUUUGUCUAUUGCUUCCCUUUCCUCUCCCCUCCUAUU